ensembl:lncRNA
ACCCACCGCCACAGCCUGGAGAAGCUGUGCUGCAGGCGCUGCCUGGCCCGGCACAGCCCCGGGGUCACCCACAGAUGGGCCGUGCCCUUGGGACCCCAGAGGCACCCCGUUGGGUUAGUCCUGCCUGCAUCUGCUGGGAUGGCCCUGUCUGGAUCCAUGGGGAUGUUUCUGCGUGGAUCCAUCGGGCUGAUCCUGCCUGGGUCCAUCAGCACGCUCUGGUCCAGAUCCUGUAGGGCGCUCCCGUCUGCUCCCACUUCUGGGUGCUCAUCUGUGUCCAGGUUCAUGUCCGCAUCCGUGUCCAUGUCCUUAUGAUUGUUCAUAUCCAUGUCGGUGGCCCUCUUCAGUAGCGGCCACAUCCCCGUACUAAGGACAUUCAUCUGAACAAGCAGAUGGAGACUGGGGGGCUCCUGGGCCGGGGGCUCCUGGGCGGGGGGCUCCUGGGCCGGGGGGUCGUGAAGGGGCUCUCUGGGCGUCCCGGCUGCCCUCUGCCGCUCCAGCACUGCCCGCAGCAGUUGGCAGCGGCGCUCAACGGCUGCGUGGUUCUCACGGAUGGCACAGAUCAGCUCCUGGAUGAGCUCCGUGUGGGAGCAGUGGGGCGGGGAGGGCUCCAUGGGGCUCUGCGCUCCAUCGCUCUGCUCAGUCAUCCGCAGGGAAUAGGGGGUGCUGGGGGCUGCUCUCAGCAGAGCCGGGGACUCCGAGCUGGGGCACAGGGACGGCUCUGCCUCAGGCUCUUCCUCUGGCUCUUCCUCUGACGCUGCCUCUGACUCUGGUUGUGGCUCCAGCUCUUCCUCAGGCUCUGCCUCUGCCUCUGACUCUGGCUCUG